UACAGAGGUCUCAAGCGUUGUUCGGAUUCAUUGGGCGUAAAGGGUGCGUAGGCGGCGCGGUAAAUCGGGUGUGAAAUCUCGGGGCUUAACUCCGAAACUGCAUUCGAUACUGCCGUGCUUGAGGACUGGAGAGGAGACUGGAAUUUACGGUGUAGCGGUGAAAUGCGUAGAUAAUCGUAAGGAAGACCAGUGGCGAAGGCGGGUCUCUGGACAGUUCCUGACGCUGAGGCACGAAGGUCAGGGGAGCAAACGGG
rnacentral:rRNA from 1 species